CUCAGAAUGGCUGUGUUGCACACAAUCCUUUUCUGAGGACCCAUUCCUGAAAGAAAGCAGGCCAUGCUGGUCUCAGUAUUUGCAUGGAAGGAUAUCUGCCAGUGAAUGAGUCUGUUGAAAUCACCACACCAAAUUCAACAUUAAGGGCCAACCCUGACCACAGCUGAGCCGUGUGAAGAGGCUGACAGCGGCGUGGCCACCACCCAGGAUGGAGAGAAAGGCACCGUGAGGUGUUAAUGGAAAAAUCCAACUUCCUUUUCUUCCAAAGAUGAUGACUGAAACCAAAGUGGAGCUUUCCCUGAAACUUUCUGAGAUGCAAGUGGGUGUUAAAUGGUUCAGCAAAGCCAAGCCAGAGCAGUUGGUGUGCUUUGAAAUGAAGCAACAUCGGAAAAAUGAAAUCUACCGAAAGAUCACUACGUGUUUCAAAGGCCUUCAGACUCAGACUGGAACUGCACCGUUGGCUCUCCUGGGUGGGUCUCCAGCUUGCUGACCACAGACCUUGAGACUUCUCAGCCUUUAGAAUCAUGGAAGCCAAUUCCUUAUAAUAAUAUAUAUCCGUUUCCUAGUCUGUGGACUUUUCCCAGCUCCAGACAGACAAUCUUCUAUAAACUCCAGGAUGCUCCAUCAAUGCCCUGUCUAGACUCUACAGAUUUUGACCCUGAAGUAAAGUAGGAAAGGCUAUGGAGACAUGUUAAAUGUUGUACUACCGCCUGAAGCCUUUUCUUCUUUAAAUUUUUCAACAAGAGUUGAAUGCACACGUGGAUCUUAAUUGGACAACAACUUUUCUCCUCUUCUGUGGGAUCCCGUCAGUGCUUUAAGCAAUGAGAAGGCAGCUCAUUUCCAAGUUUGUGUGGUAAAUUUGGGGCAAGUGGGAGAAAAGAAAGAAAGGCUAAGUCUUAUAGGGUGUGAUUUGGUUCUAGACAUGCUUAUGUUACUUUUUAUAAGAUUAUCCAUUUGACUAGAUUUCUUUCCUGCUGACAAAAGAGGCAAUUUCUACAUAUAAAAUAAAUCUGAUUAAAACUC